rnacentral:rRNA from 1 species
AUGGGCGCUGCUGCAGCAGUUUGUUGAGAUAAGGAUGGCAAGUAUCUGGGAGCCUCGGCGACGAUCUUUGAAGGACUAGUUGAUGCACCAAAUCUGGAAGCUUGUGCAUGCAAUGAAGCCCUCUCCCUCGCAAAGGAUCUCAACAUAACACAUGUGAUAAUAGCUUCAGAUUGUAUGCAGGUUGUCUCGGAUAUCAACCAGGGUGCGCAUUCACCUUAUUCCAUGAUUCUAGAUGAGAUUAGAGAUAGAGUAAAGGAAUUUGUUAAAGUUACUUUUCGUUUUGAGGUUAGGGAGGCGAAUUUUGAAGCCCAUGCCUUGUCCAAGGCAGCUUCGUCGCUUCCGAAGGUCGCCAUAUGUGGCUAG